UCCAAAAUAAGGAGAUGUGCUCUACUCUUCCAGACAACAGACUAAAACCUCCUAAUUUAUGAUUUUUGGCAGGCGGACUUUGAAUUAUUUACUUAAAAAAUUAGAAAUCUGCUGAAACUGAUCGAUGUCUGCCACUGUUCUAUUACAUUUGACUCUGACAAUGCUGAAAAGGUUAUCAUCUUGACAGACAUUUUCUCUCUGUAUCUUUAAUUAUUGGUCUUAGAGGCCCAACAUCAGCCAAGCCUUUUCAGGGUAUAGCUUUGAAGGUGAUUGAUCAUGUUAGCAACAGGAGGUGUUCUUCGUAUUACAGCCAGGACAAAUAAGUCCUUUCAAUCUUGUCCCCGUACAAAUAAAUGCCAAAAGAAAGGAUCCAAAAAAUCUAAAAAUAACGUGGUAAUACUGAAAGCCAAAUUAAAACUGUGUUCUGUUCCAGGA